AUCUGUUUACACGCUAGUGUCAUCUACAGUGUCAUGAAAAGUGUUUGUCAAAUUAUAUUAAAAUUAUAAAUCUUCUUGGCUAUUAAUUAUUCUAUGUUUGUGGAAUUAAUCUAGACUUUAUUAACGUUCAAUUUUUUUUAUCAUCCGUCUUUUUUUCCGUCAAAGUUAAAUAAGGAAUAAAUUGUUCCUUUGACAGCUAUCACGUUGGACAUUCCCUCUCAUCGACCUUUGGAAGCAUUCCUUUAUAUUGGGAGUGUUGAAUCAUAUUUGGGAAUAUGGCUGCUGCUGCUGCUGCUGCGUUACUCGACGAGCUUAUGGGAAGAAACAGAAAUGUUCUUCCUAACGAAAAACCUAAAGAACUAAAUUGGGAGGAUCCAGAGUUUUGCAAAUUAUAUUUGGUCAAAUUCUGUCCUCACGAUUUAUUCGUUAACACUCGAGCUGAUCUUGGAGCUUGUUCACGAGUACACGAUGAUGAAGCUAGAGAACUUUUUGAGAAAGCGCCAUAUUCUUAUCGUAAACAACAAUACGAAGAUGAAUUUAUUAGAUUUUGUCAAAGUAUGCUUAACGAGGUUGAAAGGAAAAUUGUAAAAGGCAAACAACGUCUUGCUUUAAUUGGAAGAACUGAAGCACCUACUUUGACUCCAGCACAAACUCAAAGGAAUGAAGAACAAAUAGCUCUGCUAACGGAGAAGAUUAACAAAUUAGUCGAAGAAGCUGAACAAAGUGGUAUUCAAGGAAACGUUGAACAAGCUCAAGGCCUAAUGAGACUUUGUGACCAAUUAAAAGAAGAACGAGAAGCUCUUAGAAAGUCCAAUGACAAUAGUCAUUAUAAUCAAACUGCUGAGUUAGCUGCUGCUCAAGAAAAACAGAUGGAAGUUUGUGACGUGUGCGGUGCUUUUUUGAUUGUCGGAGAUGCUCAACAACGAAUUGAUGAUCACUUGAUGGGUAAACAACAUGUUGGUUAUGCCAGAUUAAAAAGUGCUCUUCAAGAUAUUAUGAGUAAACGUGAAAAAGCACGAGAUGAAAAAGAGCAGAAAAGAGAAGAAGAGAGAAAGCAGAGAGCACGUGUUAAUGAAGAAUUGGAUAGACGAAGGAGAGAAAGUGACAGAGAUAGAGACAGAGAAAGGGAUAAACGUCGCAGACGUACAGACGAUGACAAGGGUAGACAUGACUCUGGAAGUCAUAGAAAUUCUGGACAUAGAAGUAGAAGCAGGUCUAGAGAGAAAUAUGAUCGACAUCGCGAUGACGAUAAUCAUCGACGUCAUGCUCGCGAUAAAGGAAAUCGAGAUCAUCGAAGUUCAAGUCACCAUAAUCGUCGUCGCCAUCGAUCUCGAAGUCGAAGUCACAAGUUCUUUACCAGAAUUUAACAUAAUGAGGUUAACAACAGCUACAAUAAGGGAAUUAUGUUAAUCGUAUAAAUAAAGUAAUUGCGAUUCGUACGAAAUUUUAAUAUUUGUUAAAUCUUAACUUCUAAAACAUUGAUUAUCUAUUUUCAGAAUGAAGACAGGACAAUGGAAAUUAAGCAGUUCGAAGGAUCCACCUGCACUCCGCUUUAUAUAUUAUUAAGUGUUUUCAAAAAUGAUCGCUACGAGG
rnacentral:misc_RNA from 1 species